rnacentral:rRNA from 1 species
GCGUUGCUCGGAAUCACUGGGCGUAAAGCGCACGUAGGCGGACUCUUAAGUCGGUGGUGAAAUCCUGGAGCUCAACUCCAGAACUGCCUUCGAUACUGAGAGUCUCGAGUCCGAGAGAGGUGAGUGGAACUGCGAGUGUAGAGGUGAAAUUCGUAGAUAUUCGCAAGAACACCAGUGGCGAAGGCGGCUCACUGGCUCGGUACUGACGCUGAGGUGCGAAAGCGUG